rnacentral:SRP_RNA from 1 species
GCCGGGCGUGGUGGUGCAUGCCUGUAAUCCCAGCUACCUGGAAGGCUGAGGCAGGAGAAUCGCUUGAACCUGGGAGGCUGCAAUGAGCCGAGAUCGCGCCACUGCACUCCAGUCUGGGACAGAGUGAGCCUCCAUCUCAAAAAAAAAAAAAAAAAAAAAAAAAAAAAGAGUCUCACUCUGUUUGCACUCCAGUCUGGGACAGAGUGAGCCUCCGUCUCAAAAAAAAAAAAAAGAGUCUCGCUCUGUCCCAGGCUGGAGUGCAGUGGUAUGAUCUCAGCUCAUUGCAGCGUCCACCUCCUGGGUUCAAGUGAUUCUCCUGCCUCAG